CACGGGGGGAGCAAGCGUUGUUCGGAAUCACUGGGCGUAAAGGGCGUCUAGGCGGUACGGUAAGUGGGAUGUGAAAGCCCCCGGCUCACCCGGAGAUCUGCAUUCCAAACUGCCGAACUUGAGUAUGGGAGAGGACAGGGGAAUUCCUGGUGUAGCGGUGAAAUGCGUAGAUAUCAGGAGGAACACCGGUGGCGAAAGCGCCUGUCUGGCCCAAUACUGACGCUGAAGCGCGAAAGCUAGGGGAGCAAACGGG
rnacentral:rRNA from 1 species